rnacentral:piRNA from 1 species
UAGUUACGAUUUUUCACACUUGGUGU